UGGGGAAUUUUGGACAAUGGGGGCAACCCUGAUCCAGCCAUUCCGCGUGAGUGAAGAAGGCCUUCGGGUUGUAAAGCUCUUUCAGCAGGAACGAAACGGUCGGCUUUAAUAAAGUCGGCUAAUGACGGUACCUGCAGAAGAAGCACCGGCUAACUACGUGCCAGCAGCCGCGGUAAUACGUAGGGUGCGAGCGUUAAUCGGAAUUACUGGGCGUAAAGCGUGCGCAGGCGGCGACAUAAGACAGAUGUGAAAUCCCCGGGCUCAACCUGGGAACUGCGUUUGUGACUGUGUUGCUAGAGUGUAGCAGAGGGGGUGGAAUUCCACGUGUAGCAGUGAAAUGCGUAGAGAUGUGGAGGAACACCGAUGGCGAAGGCAGCCCCCUGGGUUAACACUGACGCUCAUGCACGAAAGCGUGGGGAGCAAACAGGAUUAGAUACCCACGUAGUCCCUGAGCGGGCUGGCAAGGCGCAU
rnacentral:rRNA from 1 species